UUCCUACGGGAGGCAGCAGUAGGGAAUAUUGCACAAUGGGGGAAACCCUGAUGCAGUGACGCCGCGUGCAGGAAGAAGGUUUUCGGAUUGUAAACUGCUUUAGACAGGGAAGAAACAAGACAGUACCUGUAGAAUAAGCUCCGGCUAACUACGUGCCAGCAGCCGCGGUAAUACGUAGGGAGCAAGCGUUAUCCGGAUUUAUUGGGUGUAAAGGGUGCGUAGACGGGAAUUUAAGUUAGUUGUGAAAUCCCUCGGCUUAACUGAGGAACUGCAACUAAAACUGAAUCUCUUGAGUGCGGGAGAGG
rnacentral:rRNA from 1 species